rnacentral:misc_RNA from 1 species
AACGCACAUUGCGCCCUAUGGUAUUCCGUAGGGCAUGCCUGUCUGAGCGUCAACUCCCACCCUCUCAAGUCUUCUUUUGUUAAGGAGAUUUGGAUUGCUUUGAGGAAGUAUCAUUUUAUAUAAUGCUGCUCCUCAGAAAUCUAUAGGCAGUAUGGUCAAACCUGAACCAGACGUAAUAAUUCUAUAAAUUUCGUCUAAUGAAGGAAAAGUCUGUAUUAGUCUUUAAUUUUUUUAUAUAUAUAUUUUUUUUUUGGGUGACCUCAGAUCAGGUAGGGAUACCCGCUGAACUUAA